CCGAACACGGAAGUUAAGCUCUUCAGCGCCGAUGGUAGUCGGGGGUUUCCCCCUGUGAGAGUAGGACGCCGCCAAGC
rnacentral:rRNA from 1 species